rnacentral:rRNA from 1 species
UACAGAGGUGGCAAGCGUUGUUCGGAAUUACUGGGCGUAAAGGGCGCGUAGGCGGUUUCGUAAGUCCCGUGUGAAAGCCCCCGGCUCAACUGGGGAAUUGCACGGGAAACUGCGAGGCUUGAGUUCGGGAGAGGGAAGCGGAAUUCCGGGUGUAGCGGUGAAAUGCGUAGAUAUCCGGAGGAACACCGGUGGCGAAGGCGGCAUCCUGGACCGGCAUUGACGCUGAUGAGCGAAAGCUAGGGGAGCAAACGGG